UGGGGAAUUUUGGACAAUGGGCGAAAGCCUGAUCCAGCAAUGCCGCGUGUGCGAAGAAGGCCUUCGGGUUGUAAAGCACUUUUGUCCGGAAAGAAAUCCGCCUGGCCAAUACCCGGGCGGGAUGACGGUACCGGAAGAAUAAGCACCGGCUAAUUACGUGCCAGCAGCCGCGGUAAUACGUAGGGUGCGAGCGUUAAUCGGAAUUACUGGGCGUAAAGCGUGCGCAGGCGGUUUUGUAAGACAGAGGUGAAAUCCCCGGGCUCAACCGGGGAACUGCCUUUGUGACUGCAAAGCUGGAGUGCGGCAGAGGGGGAUGGAAUUCCGCGUGUAGCAGUGAAAUGCGUAGAUAUGCGGAGGAACACCGAUGGCGAAGGCAAUCCCCUGGGCCUGCACUGACGCUCAUACACGAAAGCGUGGGGAGCAAACA
rnacentral:rRNA from 1 species